ensembl:lncRNA
CCCAACCCCCCAACCCAGCCCUUUCCUUUUUCUGUUAUUUGGCUGUGAUAGGAAAAGUAUUGAAAAAUAGAAAGUGCCCUAGACAGGAAAACACUCUGAGCGCUGAAACCUGAAACCCAGUGGCCUGCGCCAACACCCCUGUUGGAGGUGGAUGGCUAGCCAGGAUUCAUUCUGGGCCCCAGUCCCAGGCUCUGCUUAGGGUGGGGCCUGAAGCCCCUUUAGUGGAGAUGAGGACUUGAGGAGGGCAGCGGGUGACUACUGGAGAUCACAUGGAUGAGGGAAGACACAUCACGGGAGGCCAGGUCUGCUCACUACCACAGGCUGACCUGCCGCCUCAGCCCCGGUGAAGUUCCAACACAGACCAGAGAAGUUGCUGUCCAUAGCUGGGGCUUCCAGAAGUGGCCCUGCCUUUGCCUGACAGCUGUGGCCUCUGUCCUCUAUGGCUUUCCUUAGAUGGAGCCUCUGUCAGAGCCAAGAUGGUGCCGGUUUCCUCCGACUGUGACUAGAAGAUGGUGAGACCGAAGGCAACUUUAGAAGGCAACAAACCUUCAUACUGUCUUUUCCCAGGGAGGAGCCAUGAACUUUUGGUGGCCCUUCUCCUCAAGCUGGAAGAACAUUCGGGCUGGUGAACAUUAACCCUUCUGCAGCCAUGCCACGGUGAAACAGACACAAAACAACGUGGAUGAACCUUAGCCCCUUCCAUGGUUUAAAUGAGAGCAGCUCAUCUAGGCACGUAUGUUUGAAUAUUUGGCCUCCAAUUGGAAGAACCAGAUGGGAAAGGUGCAUACUAUGUCAUUAAAGGCAACUAAGUAAAGGCAAACCAUGCACAGACUGAGGAGUGUGUCUGGGAGCUGAUGCUGAGUUGAAGGCUGAAAGGACAGAUCCACACAAGCCCUUCACCAAGUCUCAAACUGCUGCCUCUCCUCAGUGUGGCUGGAGAAUGAAUGCCUCAUACUGACUCCUUGUCCUGUCUUAUAUACCUCUCAUGAGUACUGGGAUUAAAGGUCUUCAAACAUAGGUUGUCCACAGUUGAACGCCUAGCUGUCCUCUCAACCUCAACAACGGCCGGACAUGCUGCCUCCUGUAGGAUGAAUGCCUGGGAGUCAAACCUGGAAAACAUCAAACUCUGUCCUUCCUGGUUCAGCCUCUUUGGGGCUUAAUAUCAACUUGAAGGAUCUAGAAUCAUCCAGGAGACAGGCCUCUGGGCAUGAGGAACUUCUAGAUGGAUUAAUAAAGAUGGGAAGGUCCACUGGAAUUUUGGGAUUAAGGUGGGAAGAUCCACCUUAGCUAUGGGUAACAUCAUCUCCUGGGCUGGAGCACAGGACUGAAAACAAAGGAGAAGCCAAGCUGAGCAUUCGUCUCUUUCCACUUCCUGACUGUGGAUGGAAUGUGAUCAGCUGCCUUGAAUUUCUGCCACCAUGCCAUCCCCACCAUGGUGGACUGAACUCUUACUCUGUGAGCCAGAAUGUACCUACCCUUCCUUCUUUAUACUGCCUUUGCAAAGCAUUUUGUUACAGCAAUAAUAAAAGUAAUCAAGAGAGCAACCUCACCGCAUCUGCAGAUCCCAUUGUCCUGGUCUCUGAGUCAGUGCCCAUUUUUCCACUGCUAGAAUUCUCCAGCCUCAGCCGCCUCUUCGCAGUGAUCUCCCAAUGGUUUCCCCAUCACUUUCCCAUGGGUGGCAAGCUACACCUAUCCUUCAGACUGCCCUUUACACAAUGACUACAGUGAAUGGCAAAUGAACUCCAGUGCAGAAUAAAUCAAUCAAUCCAGUGAUUAUUUUUCAUCCAGUGAGACCUAGGAUAGAAUGCAUUGGUCACUUCUCAUGGCUGUCAUGACAUGAUGAGUGCUUAGGUGCCUGUUUCCUUCCCUGACCUUGGGGCUCUGAGGCAGCAGGGGUUCUGUCAGGCAUAUAAACCAC